AGCAGCCGCGGUAAUUCCAGCUCCAAUAGCGUAUAUUAAAGUUGUUGCAGUUAAAAAGCUCGUAGUUGAAUUUCGGGAUCAAGUCGUCGGUCGUGCUCAGGUACGUACUGGCGUCAUUGAUUUCUCCCUUCUGACGAACCAUGAUGUCAUUAAUUUGGUGUUAUGGGAAAUCAGGACUGUUACUUUGAAAAAAUUAGAGUGUUUAAAGCAGGCUCACGCUUGAAUACAUUAGCAUGGAAUAAUGAAAUAGGACGUUCGAUCCUAUUUUGUUGGUUUUAGGAUCAACGUAAUGAUUAAUAGGGAUAGUUGGGGGCAUUAGUAUUCAAUUGUCAGAGGUGAAAUUCUUGGAUUUAUUGAAGACUAACUACUGCGAAAGCAUUUGCCAAGGAUGUUUUCAUUAAUCAAGAACGAAAGUUAGGGGAUCGAAGACGAUCAGAUACCGUCGUAGUCUUAACCAUAAACUAUGCCGACUAGGGAUCGGAUGAUGUUAAUUUUUUAAUGACUC
rnacentral:rRNA from 1 species